AGUUUGAUCCUGGCUCAGGAUGAACGCUAGCGGCAGGCUUAACACAUGCAAGUCGAGGGGUAUAGGGAGCUUGCUUCCUGAGACCGGCGCACGGGUGCGUAACGCGUAUGCAAUCUACCUUUUACAAAGGAAUAGCCCAGAGAAAUUUGGAUUAAUGCCUUAUAGUGUUGUUGGAUGGCAUCAUUUGACAACUAAAGAUUUAUCGGUAAAAGAUGAGCAUGCGUCCCAUUAGCUAGUUGGUAUGGUAACGGCAUACCAAGGCAAUGAUGGGUAGGGGUCCUGAGAGGGAGAUCCCCCACACUGGUACUGAGACACGGACCAGACUCCUACGGGAGGCAGCAGUGAGGAAUAUUGGUCAAUGGAGGCAACUCUGAACCAGCCAUGCCGCGUGCAGGAAGACGGUCCUAUGGAUUGUAAACUGCUUUUAUACAGGAAUAAACCUACCCUCGUGAGGGUAUUUGAAGGUACUGUAGGAAUAAGGAUCGGCUAACUCCGUGCCAGCAGCCGCGGUAAU
rnacentral:rRNA from 1 species